GGGGACGUAACAAAGCGACCCAGGAAUGCUUGGGCGUGCCUCCACCCACGCCGGCGUCGGCGGGCGUAUUUCGCCUCACAGUAGGUCGCCGCGACCCGUUGCUUUUGGGGACGUCGAAGGCCCGGACGGAUUGGUACCCUACCGGCUGGGGAUGCGGCUUCGGCUUCUCCUCUUGUCCGGUGGGCGAAACCGCCGGUGUCCUGGCUGCCCUGCGACGGUCGUAGAGACGAGCCCUCCCCUUCGGGGGGGCGGCUCUCGCGGCGUGCAAAAGGUCGGUGAUCCACCCGACCCGUCUUGAAACACGGACCAAGGAGUCUAACAUGUGUGCGAGUCAGUGGGCGCACUAAACCCAGAGGCGUAAUGAAAGUGACACGGGCUCGGCUGUCGCCUCGUGUGGCAGCCGGACUCAGGGCCGAUCCCUCACCGGUUGUCCUCGCCUCUCUCCCGCGUCUCGGUAAGCCGGGUGAGCUAUUUUCCCCGGCCGCUGCUGCGGGGCUCGGGGGAAGGCGGGGUGCGAUGGUGUCUGUAAAAAAGAGCCUGCUGUUGCAGGGGGGCGCAGGCCCGGGACUUGCCAGGACGCCGCGAGACUGUCACUUUGCUGUGAGGCUCUCGGGCCGAUCAGCGGGUCAUGCGUGCAGUCGGCAAGUACCAUGAGCAGACAUGUUGGGACCCGAAAGAUGGUGAACUAUGCCUGGCCAGGAUGAAGCCAGAGGAAACUCUGGUGGAGGUCCGUAGCGAUUCUGACGUGCAA
rnacentral:rRNA from 1 species